rnacentral:rRNA from 1 species
AGUGAACGCUGGCGGCGUGCUUAACACAUGCAAGUCGAACGAGAACGGGUUAUAGCUUGCUAUAAUUGUCAGCUAAGUGGCGCACGGGUGAGUAAUGUAUAGGUAAUAUGCCUCUUACUAAGGGAUAACAAAUGGAAACGUUUGCUAAUACCUUAUACUCCUUAUUUACAGAAGUUAAUAAGGGAAAGAUUUAUUGGUAAGAGAUUAGCCUGUAUUGUAUCAGUUAGUUGGUGGGGUAAUGGCUUACCAAGACUAUGACACAUAACUGGUUUGAGAGGAUGAUCAGUCACACUGGAACUGAGACACGGUCCAGGCUCCUACGGGAGGCAGCAGUGGGGAAUAUUGCACAAUGGACGAAAGUCUGAUGCAGCAACGCCGCGUGGAGGAUGACACAAUUCGGUGCGUAAACUCCUUUUAUAUGAGAAGAUAAUGACGGUAUUAUAUGAAUAAGCACCGGCUAACUCCGUGCCAGCAGCCGCCGUAA